GGUGAAUCCGGUCGAACCGAACCGGGCGGCUCUGAUCUAAUCUCGCCUCGGCUCCAGAAAACUGGCACCACCCGCGUCAGAAGAACUCCAUCUCGGUGAACCUGGGGAGUGAAGCAGAGAAUAUUGGAAGACAGUGAUGGCAUCAUCGCUUCCCUCUGAUCACAAAGCCCAAAUCAUCGAUGGAAAAGCCAUUGCUCAGACCAUUCGAUCAGAAAUUGCCUCUGAAGUUAGCCACCUAUCUCAGAAGUAUGGCAAGGUUCCUGGACUUGCUGUGGUGAUAGUUGGUACCAGGAAGGAUUCUCAAAGCUACGUAAGUAUGAAGAGAAAGGCGUGUGCUGAAGUUGGUAUUACAUCAUUCGAUGUAGAUUUGCCUGAGCAAGUAUCCGAGGCUGACUUGAUUGACAAGGUCCACGAGUUAAAUGCAAACCCUGAUGUACAUGGUUGGUCAGUUGAUUUGUUUUUACAUGUGUCAUCUAUUGUUAUUGCUCUGUUUAUACUGUCAUCAGUUCGAAAACACUGGUUUAGAUGCCCAGUUCACAUUAUUAGCCUUUCUUAUGAUAGCUCUGCUUUACCUGUGCAAAGUUUCGAAAAUCAACUAUUAGACUGGGUUAGAUAUACUUUCUUAUGCCUGCAAAAGAAAAUUUUCUUUUGUCAGGUCAUCACUCAUAUCAUGGAAUUCUGAUUAGUAGUAAUUAGAGACU